rnacentral:lncRNA from 1 species
GUAGUUAGGUGUGAAUUUUCGAGACCUCUGGCACCGUUCUAAGAUGGGUCCUCUCUUCGUAGGCUAAUGCGUUGGCCCUUUUUGACCCGUUUUGGGGCGAAAACAAAAACUGACUCCCGGGCAUAUUUUUUCGGCCUUUAUGGGCAAAGAACUUUAAUGCCGCUCAGAAUGAGGCCACCCAGUAGUUAGGUGUGAAUUUUUGAGACCUCUGGCACCGUUCUAAGAUGGGUCCUCUCUUCGUAGGCUAAUGCAUUGGCCCUUUUUGACCCGUUUUGGGGCGAAAACAAAAACUGACUCCCGGGCAUAUUUUUUUCGGCCUUUAUGGGCAAAGAACUUUAAUGCCGCUCAGAAUGAGGCCACCCAGUAGUUAGGUGUGAAUUUUCGAGACCUCUGCACGUUCUAAGAUGGGUCCUCUCUUCGUAGGCUAAUGCGUUGGCCCUUUUUGACCCGUUUUGGAACGAAAACAAAAACUGACUCCCGGGCAUAUUUUUUUCGGCCUUUAUGGGCAAAGAACUUUAAUGCCGCUCAGAAUGAGGCCACCCAGUAGUUAGGUGUGAAUUUUCGAGACCUCUGGCACCGUUCUAAGAUGGGUCCUCUCUUCGUAGGCUAAUGCGUUGGCCCUUUUUGACCCGUUUUGGGCGAAAACAAAAACGGACUCCCGGGCAUAUUUUUUUCGGCUUUUAUGGGCAAAGAACUUUAAUGCCGCUCAGAAUGAGGCCACCCAGUAGUUAGGUGUGAAUUUUCGAGACCUCUGGCACCGUUCUAAGAUGGGUCCUCUCUUCGUAGGUUAAUGCGUUGGCCCUUUUUGACCCGUUUUGGAACGAAAACAAAAACUGACUCCGCGGCAUAUUUUUUUCGGCCUUUAUGGGCAAAGAACUUUAAUGCCGCUCAGAAUGAGGCCACCCAGUAGUUAGGUGUGAAUUUUCGAGACCUCUGGCACCGUUCUAAGAUGGGUCCUCUCUUCGUAGGCUAAUGCGUUGGCCCUUUUUGACCCGUUUUGGGGCGAAAACAAAAACUGACUCCGGGCAUAUUUUUUUCGGCCUUUAUGGGCAAAGAACUUUAAUGCCGCUCAGAAUGAGGCCACCCAGUAGUUAGGUGUGAAUUUUCGAGACCUCUGGCACCGUUCUAUGAUGGGUCCUCUCUUCGUAGGCUAAUGCAUUGGCCCGUUUUGGGGCCAAAACAAAAACUGACUCCCGGCAUACUUUUUUCGGCCUUUAUGGGCAAGAACUUUAAUGCCGCUCAGAAUGAGGCCACCAGUAGUUAGGUGUGAAUUUUCGAGACCUCUGGCACCGUUCUAAGAUGGGUCCUCUCUUCGUAGGCUAAUGCAUUGGCCCUUUUCGACCCGUUUUGGGGCGAAAACAAAAACUGACUCCCGGGCAUAUUUUUUUCGGCCUUUAUGGGCAAAGAACUUUAAUGCCGCUCAGAAUGAGGCCACCCAGUAGUUAGGUGUGAAUUUUCGAGACCUCUGGCACCGUUCUAAGAUGGGUCCUCUCUUUCUAGGCUAAUGCAUUGGCCCUUUUCGACCCGUUUUUGGGCGAAAACAAAAACUGACUCCCGGGCAUAUCUUUUUCGGCCUUGAUGGGCAAAGAACUUUAAUGCCGCUCAGAAUGAGGCCACCCAGUAGUUAGGUGUGAAUUUUCGAGACCUCUGGCACCGUUCUAAGAUGGGUCCUCUCUUCGUAGGCUAAUGCGUUGGCCUUUUU